AGCAGCCGCGGUAAUUCCAGCUCCAAUAGCGUAUAUUAAAGUUGUUGCAGUUAAAAAGCUCGUAGUUGAAUUUCGGGGUUAGCAGGUCGGUCGUGCCAUCGGUAUGAACUGGUCUCGCUGAUCCCUCCCUCUUGACGAACUGUGAUGCCAUUAAUUUGGUGUCGCAGGGAAUCAGGACUGUUACUUUGAAAAAUUAGAGUGUUUAAAGCAGGCUCACGCUUGAAUACAUUAGCAUGGAAUAAUGAAAUAGGACGUUUGAUCCUAUUUUGUUGGUCUCUAGGAUUGACGUAAUGAUUAAUAGGGAUAGUUGGGGGCAUUAGUAUUCAAUUGUCAGAGGUGAAAUUCUUGGAUUUAUUGAAGACUAACUACUGCGAAAGCAUUUGCCAAGGAUGUUUUCAUUAAUCAAGAACGAAAGUUAGGGGAUCGAAGACGAUCAGAUACCGUCGUAGUCUUAACCAUAAACUAUGCCGACUAGGGAUCGGAUGAUGUUAAUUUUUAAUGA
rnacentral:rRNA from 1 species